ACACUCAUCGUCUAAUUGGUUAGGACAUCACACUUUCAAUGUUAAAACAAAGGUUCGAAUCCUUUUGAGUGAG
rnacentral:tRNA from 1 species